GGGGCCAUAGCUCAGCUGGGAGAGCGCUUGCAUGGCAUGCAAGAGGUCGCCGGUUCGAUCCCGGCUGGCUCCA
rfam:Lasius niger Lnig_2.1_34032, whole genome shotgun sequence.